rnacentral:rRNA from 1 species
GAAUUCGCCCUUAGAGUUUGAUCCUGGCUCAGGAUGAACGCUAGCGACAGGCCUAACACAUGCAAGUCGAGGGGUAACAGGGGCUUCGGCUCGCUGACGACCGGCGCACGGGUGAGUAACGCGUAUGCAACCUGCUUGUAACAGCGGGAUAGCUCCCUGAAAGGGGAAUUAACACCGCAUAAGACCACGCUCUCGCAUGGGGACGGGGUAAAAUAUUUAUAGGUUACAGAUGGGCAUGCGUGACAUUAGCUAGUUGGUGAGAUAACAGCCCACCAAGGCGACGAUGGGUAGCCGACUUGAGAGAGUGAUCGGCCACAUUGGAACUGAGAUACGGUCCAAACUCCUACGGGAGGCAGCAGUGGGGAAUAUUGGGCAAUGGGCGAAAGCCUUACCCAGCAAUGCCGCGUGAGUGAAGAAGGUCUUCGGAUUGUAAAGCUCUUUGAUCAGGGACGAAACAAAUGACGGUACCUGAAGAACAAGCCCCGGCUAACUACGUGCCAGCAGCCGCGGUAAUACGUAGGGGGCGAGCGUUGUCCGGAAUGACUGGGCGUAAAGGGUGUGUAGGCGGUUUAGCAAGUUAGAUGUGAAAUACCCAGAGCUCAACUCGGGUGCUGCAUCUAAAACUACAAGACUUGAGUAUCGGAGAGGAAAGCGGAAUUCCUAGUGUAGCGGUGGAAUGCGUAGAUAUUAGGAGGAACACCAGAGGCGAAGGCGGCUUUCUGGACGAUAACUGACGCUGAGGCACGAAAGCGUGGGGAGCAAACAGGAUUAGAUACCCUGGUAGUCCACGCUGUAAACGAU